rnacentral:rRNA from 1 species
GACGAACGCUGGCGGCGUGCCUAAUACAUGCAAGUCGAGCGAAGUUUUUCUGGUGCUUGCACUAGAAAAACUUAGCGGCGAACGGGUGAGUAACACGUAAAGAACCUGUCUCAUAGACUGGGACAACUAUUGGAAACGAUAGCUAAUACCGGAUAACAGUAUUUCUCGCAUGAGAGAUAUUUAAAAGUUGGUUAUGCUAACACUAUGAGAUGGCUUUGCGGUGCAUUAGCUAGUUGGUGGGGUAAAGGCCUACCAAGGCGACGAUGCAUAGCCGACCUGAGAGGGUGAUCGGCCACACUGGGACUGAGACACGGCCCAGACUCCUACGGGAGGCAGCAGUAGGGAAUCUUCCGCAAUGGGCGAAAGCCUGACGGAGCAACGCCGCGUGAGUGAAGAAGGAUUUCGGUUCGUAAAGCUCUGUUGUUAGGGAAGAAUGGAUAUGUAGUAACUAUACAUAUAAGAGACGGUACCUAACCAGAAAGCCACGGCUAACUACGUGCCAGCAGCCGCGGUAAUACGUAGGUGGCAAGCGUUGUCCGGAAUUAUUGGGCGUAAAGCGCGCGCAGGUGGUUUAAUAAGUCUGAUGUGAAAGCCCACGGCUCAACCGUGGAGGGUCAUUGGAAACUGUUAAACUUGAGUGCAGGAGAGAAAAGUGGAAUUCCUAGUGUAGCGGUGAAAUGCGUAGAGAUUAGGAGGAACACCAGUGGCGAAGGCGGCUUUUUGGCCUGUAACUGACACUGAGGCGCGAAAGCGUGGGGAGCAAACAGG